rnacentral:lncRNA from 1 species
GGCUCGGCUUCCUGAGUCAGCACACUCUCCUCUCCAUGGAGCAGAUGGGCCAACCCUCCGGGAAAGGAAGCUCUUCUAAGAUCCUCCUGUCUUCAUUCGUCCCAAAUGGGCUUUGCUAUAAAAAGCAAAUUAAACAGCCAUUGUUCCUUUUCUCCAUGAGGCUGGCAUGCUAACAUCCUGCCUAAUACCAAAGCUCCCGGAUGUUUGUUGCUGGCCUGGGGACGCCUGCCACCGCUUACAGCAAUAAGAAAAAACAUGCCUUCCACUUGGGAACAGAAUCUCUCUUAAGUUCCAGGCCUUUCUUUUUCAUCAUGUCCCUCCCCCCUUUUUUUAACGUUAUGACAUAUAGUACACAGCAGAAAAGGGCUUUCUUGUUAGCUCCAGCAUUCUUCUCCGUGCCUGGCGAAGUACUCCCACGGCCUUACAAAUAGGCUUAGGCGUCUAAUCACAAGAGAUCCUGAAGGCCUGG